CACGCAGUGGCAGCCGCAUGGCCCGGUAACUCUCUGCGACUCCAGGCCCUUUGAUGACUUCUUGAAGGCAAACUCGACCGCCUCGCCUUCCUUCAGGCUGCGGAAGCCCUCCAUGUGCAACUUGCUCUGAAAAAGAUAGUAACAGCAUUAGUCAUCCUACCUGAUGGACAAACACAUCAACCGGUUCGUCCAGUGGCACUCCCUCCCGGUCGGUCAUGGACAGGAACCCGAAGCCCAUGCGGACGUUGAACCAUUUACACACACCGACUCCGAGGAAAGACUGGCAAUCCUCCUCGGUGCUCGGUCCCUCAUCCUCCUCGGUCUUACACACUCCUGCAACACAAAAAAAGUGCAUAAUUAGAAAAAAAAGAUAAAAAAUAAAUAAAUAAGUUUAUGUGGGCUACUGUUGUAAAUGCUGUUUGAAAAGUAUGCAAAAAAAUCAAACUUUUCUCCUUUCUGUCGCUUUCCUGCAUCAUCAAUCAAUCAAUAUGAAUCGAUGAAAAUGAGUCAUUUUGGCUUAAUUUCGAUUAUUUCAUUAAAAAAGCACCUGAG